UACAUAUUAUAUGUUCAUGUAUUUCCAUAUCAGUAAAGCAUAUUGAUUAAUUUAAACCCUGCACUUUUUUGCUAUCACCAUUAUGGUUAUUCUUGCUUGGCCUAAACAUUCUUACAUAUAGUUUGUGCUGCUUUAGUUAAUUUACAUUCUCAUUUAUGACAAAAUGGACUGCUGUUUACCUGAACAACAGUUUGAUGACACAAAUGCAGAAGCUAAAAAGAAUGAAUGUAUAGACUACAUUCAGGACAUAGUCCCGUGCAUGGGACGGUAGCCCUUCCAAGUUACUCAUACGGGUGAUUAUUUCCAAGCUUAUGGGAACACUUCAGUUACUUUUUCCAUGAUGCAGUACUUGUGGACAAUUCGAUCUCUGUACUAGCAUGACAACGUCAAUUAUUUCGAUUUAGUUGUGUAUGCUUCCUCAGUUUUGUGUUAUUGGAAGUGAAGUGGUUAAUUCAAAGUUUUCUAUCAGCAGGCAUCCCUAUUAUUUUCUGCUAUAAACUAAGUUCCAGUGCCAUAAAACAUCUGUUAUUGAAAUACCUACAGUUUGAGCAAGCCACCGCUACCUAGGCAAAGGUGCGGACAUGCGGUUAUCUGUUCCAGUUUUCUCAUUCUAUGCAUACCUAGACUAUCCACCAGUUUAGGGAUCUAAAAAGUGACAUAUGGAGAUCAAUUAACUGUAGUGUGUUGUUAGUCCCCUCAUUAGAUAGCAGUAGGACUUAAGAUGUGGUGCUCUGUUCUUGUAUGGUGCCAUAUUUAGUUAUGUACUUUUGUAAGGCUCAUAUGCAUCUUUUUUAGCCUUUGAACAGGGAAGCUGAACUUUUAAUGAUGAGGCUAGAAGGUCCGAAGCCGAAUAGCAAAACUCCGAUUCUUUUUCAAUUGAGGCACCAGCAGGGAUAUUUUGUGAUGGAGCAACGAGAUUUAGAUGGAAAACGACUCAGGUGCCUCAUGGUUCCUUGUCUCUACUUUUUUAUUUUGACUUUGCCCUUCGUACAAACAUAAGUUCAGAUUCAUUUGUUAAAGCUGGCUGCAAGUUGCAUCUAUAUUUGCCCCACUGAGCUAAACAAUUUAUGAGUGUUACUAAACAUCUUUUUCUCUAAAUUAUCCUGCACUUGUGCAUUUCAUAUAUCAGAUACGAGGAAUCUCCUCUCGUGUUGGCGGUGGCUGCUAAGGGCAUGCGAUGGCCGAAAGAUGGGCGGGCCUGAGGUCGAUGGCCGACGGCGGCUCUCCCCUAUCCUUCCAUAUGCUCAAUGCUUGCUAUCUAUUGUCCUAUCUCUAUCUCUAUUUGAUUUCUUUGUUGUGGUAGUAGUCUCCUAAGGUUGAUAAAUAACAGUAGCAAAGAUGUUAAUGGCAUGCAGCAUAUUUAUUUUCUGUUAUUUUUUUGUAUUUAUCUGUGCAAACUGAAAGCUAAUUAUGAGCUACAUGUUUCUGCAAAUUACGCCCGAGAUUGAAGUAUGCAAUAUGUUAUUGA